UUGAUGGAGAGUUUGAUUCUGGCUCAGAACGAACGCUGGCGGCGUGGAUAAGACAUGCAAGUCGAACGAGAGAAUUGCUAGCUUGCUAAUAAUUCUCUAGUGGCGCACGGGUGAGUAACACGUGAGUAACCUGCCCCCGAGAGCGGGAUAGCCCUGGGAAACUGGGAUUAAUACCGCAUAGUAUCGAAAGAUUAAAGCAGCAAUGCGCUUGGGGAUGGGCUCGCGGCCUAUUAGUUAGUUGGUGAGGUAACGGCUCACCAAGGCGAUGACGGGUAGCCGGUCUGAGAGGAUGUCCGGCCACACUGGAACUGAGACACGGUCCAGACACCUACGGGUGGCAGCAGUCGAGAAUCAUUCACAAUGGGGGAAACCCUGAUGGUGCGACGCCGCGUGGGGGAAUGAAGGUCUUCGGAUUGUAAACCCCUGUCAUGUGGGAGCAAAUUAAAAAGAUAGUACCACAAGAGGAAGAGACGGCUAACUCUGUGCCAGCAGCCGCGGUAAUACAGAGGUCUCAAGCGUUGUUCGGAAUCACUGGGCGUAAAGCGUGCGUAGGCUGUUUCGUAAGUCGUGUGUGAAAGGCGCGGGCUCAACCCGCGGACGGCACAUGAUACUGCGAGACUAGAGUAAUGGAGGGGGAACCGGAAUUCUCGGUGUAGCAGUGAAAUGCGUAGAUAUCGAGAGGAACACUCGUGGCGAAGGCGGGUUCCUGGACAUUAACUGACGCUGAGGCACGAAGGCCAGGGGAGCGAAAGGGAUUAGAUACCCCUGUAGUCCUGGCAGUAAACGGUGCACGCUUGGUGUGCGGGGAAUCGACCCCCUGCGUGCCGGAGCUAACGCGUUAAGCGUGCCGCCUGGGGAGUACGGUCGCAAGAUUAAAACUCAAAGAAAUUGACGGGGACCCGCACAAGCGGUGGAGUAUGUGGCUUAAUUCGAUGCAACGCGAAGAACCUUACCUGGGCUUGACAUGUAAUGAACAACAUGUGAAAGCAUGCGACUCUUCGGAGGCGUUACACAGGUGCUGCAUGGCCGUCGUCAGCUCGUGUCGUGAGAUGUUUGGUUAAGUCCAGCAACGAGCGCAACCCCUGUUGCCAGUUACCAGCACGUGAAGGUGGGGACUCUGGCGAGACUGCCCAGAUCAACUGGGAGGAAGGUGGGGACGACGUCAGGUCAGUAUGGCCCUUAUGCCCAGGGCUGCACACGUACUACAAUGCCCAGUACAGAGGGGGCCGAAGCCGCGAGGCGGAGGAAAUCCUAAAAACUGGGCCCAGUUCGGACUGUAGGCUGCAACCCGCCUACACGAAGCCGGAAUCGCUAGUAAUGGCGCAUCAGCUACGGCGCCGUGAAUACGUUCCCGGGUCUUGUACACACCGCCCGUCACAUCAUGGAAGCCGGUCGCACCCGAAGUAUCUGAAGCCAACCGCAAGGAGGCAGGGUCCUAAGGUGAGACUGGUAACUGGGAUGAAGUCGUAACAAGGUAGCCGUAGGGGAACCUGCGGCUGGAUCACCUCCUUU
rfam:Akkermansia muciniphila ATCC BAA-835, complete genome.